rnacentral:rRNA from 1 species
GACGAACGCUGGCGGCGUGCUUAACACAUGCAAGUCGAGCGGAAAGGCCCUUCGGGGUACUCGAGCGGCGAACGGGUGAGUAACACGUGAGUAACCUGCCCCAGACUUUGGGAUAACCCUCGGAAACGGGGGCUAAUACCGGAUACGACACAGCUUCGCAUGGGGUCUGUGUGGAAAGUUUUUCGGUUUGGGAUGGGCUCGCGGCCUAUCAGCUUGUUGGUGGGGUGAUGGCCUACCAAGGCGACGACGGGUAGCCGGCCUGAGAGGGCGACCGGCCACACUGGGACAGGGAAGCGGCCCAGACUCCUAGGGGGGGAAGGAGGGGGGAAUAUUGCACAAGGGGCGGAAGCGUGAUGAAGGGACGCGGAGGGGGGAAUGACGGCCUUCGGGUUGUAAACUUCUUUCAGCAGGAACGAAGCGUAAGGGAGGGAACCUGCAGAAGAAGCGCCGGCAAACUACGU